rnacentral:tRNA from 1 species
UGGGGUAUAAUCUCAGUGGUAGAGCAUUCGACUGCAGAUCGAGUGGUCCCCGGUUCAAACAAGGGUGCCCCCC